GACGAACGCUGGCGGCGUGCUUAACACAUGCAAGUCGAACGGAAAGGCCUCUUUCGUGGGGUACUCGAGUUGCCAACGGGUGAGUAACACGUGAGUAACCUGCCCUUGUCUUUGGGAUAACUUCAUGAGACUGGGGCGAAUACCGGAUAGGAGAUCCUUCGGCAUGGUGGGGGUUGGAAAGUUUCGGCGGUUGGGGGUGGACUCGCGGCUUAUCAGCGUGCUGGUGGAUUAGUGGCUUGCGAAGGCUUUGACGGGUAGCCGGCCUGAGAGGGUGACCGGCGACAUUGGGACUGAGAUACGGCCCAGACUCCUACGGGAGGCAGCAGUGGGGAAUCUUGCACAAUGGGUGGGAGCCUGAUGCAGCAACGCCGUGUGCGGGAUGACGGCCUUCGGGUUGUAAACAGCUUUCGAUCAUGACGAAGCUUUGUGUGACGUUAGUGGGUAAAGAAGCACCGGCUAAUUACGU
rnacentral:rRNA from 1 species